rnacentral:rRNA from 1 species
CCAUACCACCCUGAAUGUGCCCAAUCUCAUCUGAUCUCAGAAGCUAAGCAGGAUCAGACCUGGCUAGUACUUGAGUAUAUUUCGGUGAAGCACCGAAAAAAAAAAGA